CAGCCGCCGCGGGAAUACGGAGGGGGCUAGCGUUGUUCGGAAUUACUGGGCGUAAAGCGCACGUAGGCGGCUUGGUAAGUUAGAGGUGAAAGCCUGGAGCUCAACUCCAGAAUUGCCUUUAAGACUGCCGAGCUAGCAGGUGAGAGAGGUAAGUGGAAUUCCGAGUGUAGAGGUGAAAUUCGUAGAUAUUCGGAAGAACACCUGUGGCGAAGGCGGCUUACUGGCUCAUACUGGACGCUGAGGUGCGAAAGCGUGGGGAGCAAACAGGAUUAGAUACCCCAGUAGUCCCUGUCUCUUAUAC
rnacentral:rRNA from 1 species